rnacentral:sRNA from 1 species
AUCAUAAACCCUAAACCCUAAACCCUAAACCCUAAACUCUAAACACUAAAC